rnacentral:lncRNA from 1 species
AACCCUAAAAAUUAGGGAGAUGUCCCAUCCUCCCAGCCGCCGCCACCCACCUACCUUUUCUUCCUCGGGAUCCCCUCUUUCCCCCUCCGAUCCAAUCCCACCAGCCGGACGCCAACCAAGGUCUCCCCUCGAUCCAACCCCCCUCUGCCUUCCUGUCUGUUCUUGAUCGAAGGCCCGAGCGAGAAGAGCUCGCUCCCGAACCAGCGCACUCCUCGGCUCCUCACCGAGCCCUGCCUCGUCGCCGGAAUCCAGCGUUGUUUCCACCAGCACCUCCGGCCUCCUCUGCUUCACUUUGAGAACAGGACGCCAGCCGUCCUCCUCGACCAGCUCGCGUCGCCGCCGCCGUGCCGGAGAUGAGUGUCCCGCGUCCAUCUCUUCUCCCUUCUUCCAUUCUUCUUCCCCUCCCUCACAUCUCUCUCCCUCUGUCUGCUCGUACCAGGGAGCUCCAACGCCUCGAAGCUACAGCGCCGCCAUCGAGUCGCCACUGCCUCGAACUCUCGCCGCGCCCGUUGACUGCCCCUGAUCGACGCCCUCUUUCGUGCGUGGCACCGCGCCAGAACACCGCUCGCCUCCGACCGUUUUCCCCGCCGUCAGGUCUAGCACCGCGCCCCCACUACAUCACUGCCCGCGUCGGCCCUUCUCUAUCUUGCCUUCGCCGUGGGCCGCCCGCCCCUGCUUCCACCUCGUUCUCGCCGGAGCAAUGAGCCUUCUCUUUCACCGCGCCAAGUUCUGCAGCUCUGCCCGUCGCCGCUGUUGCCUUGCUUCGUCUGAACCUUCCUCCCCGUCGCCAAGUCCGCCGUUCAGAGCCCUUGUCGCCGCGCCCGCCUGGAUCCGGCCUGGAUCCGUCGCCGGUGACCAACUCUGUCCAGUUCCGGCCAGCUCUCGACAGGUCCCCAUCGAGGACGUCUCGCCAAGUCCCUGCUGCUGCUGCGGGACAUCCCCUGUUUUACCGUCGCUGUCGUUCUUCUUCAGAAACGAGCGGUAGCAGCUCGCCCGCUCUCGCACGUUGACCAAGCGCAGGGCUAGCAAGCCCAGUCCAGUCCACCGGCCUGCUGUUUCCACCGCCUUGGGCCAAGGCCCACUGGGUGAGUACCCCCACCGUGCACUGUUGGCCCAGUCCGAUUCGGCCCGCCUCUGUUUUUAUUUCAGAUCUGCAAUUUGUCUAUUUUCCAGAGAAGAGCAUUUUUUUGCAGGAAAGCCCUUGUGGAUCAUGCAUAUAAUAACUCACAAUUGGUGCAUCGGAUAAAAUAAAUUAUAUAUGAAAGUUGCUUAGAAUUUUGUGUAGUUUCAUAAUAUGUCAUUUUCAUCCAUGUUUAAAAUGCUUAAAAUGAAGUUUGUUUAAAUUUGCUUAAAUAACUUGCUAAAAUGAUUUAAUUCAUAACUAAAUAACCGUAGCUCCGAAUUAAAUAAUCUUUAUAUGUAGAUGGGGUAGAAUUUUGCCUAGUUUAACAUGGUGGCAUUACUUUGUAUGUUUAACAACUCUAAAAUAUGGUUUAGGGCAGAUCAGUACCAAACCUAAUAUAUGCAUAUGGGGAUUUAUCGGAAUUGUUGUUUGUUGUUUCGGCCCCAUUUAAACUUGCCUAAAUGUUUAGUUUACUUAUGCUUCACCUCUUGCCAUGUUAAUCAACAUUUAAUUUUGUUGGGUACUUAAACAAGUUCGAACCAAAUAAGUCACGUGGUGUUUCGUCAAUAUGCAACGGAGUUGCAUAUUGAGCUCCACUUAAUUUGUAGGAUUGCUUGAUUGUGCAUCAUACUUGAUUGUGCAUCAUGCCAUGAUUAUGUGGUGGUUGUUUACCAUGAUUGUUUGCUUCUUUCCGGUGUUGCUUCUUCGGGUUGGUUCCGAUAACGUCGUGUUGUGAGGAUCCGUUCGACUACGUCCGUUUAUCUUCUUCAUGGACUCGUUCUUCUUCCUUGCGGGAUUUCAGGCAAGAUGACCAUACCCUCGAAAUCACUUCUAUCUUUGCUUGCUAGUUGCUCGCUCUUUUGCUAUGCCUAUGCUGCGAUACCUACCACUUGCUUAUUAUGCCUCCCAUAUUGUUGAACCAAGCCUCUAACCCGCCUUGCUCUAGCAAACCGUUGUUUGGCUAUGUUACCACUUUGCUCAGCCCCUCUUAUAGCAUUGCUAGUUGCAGGUGAAGAUUGAAGUUUGUUUCUUGUUGGAACAUGGGGACGUUGUUCCUUGUUGGAACAUGUUUACUUGUUGGGAUAUCACAAUAUAUCUUAUUUAAUUAAUGCAUCUAUAUACUUAGUAAAGGGUGGAAGGCUCGGCCUUAUGCCUGGUGUUUUGUUCCACUCUUGCCGCCCUAGUUUCCGUCAUAUCGGUGUUAUGUUCCCGGAUUUUGCGUUCCUUACGCGGUUGGGUAAUAAUGGGAACCCUUGAUAGUUCGUCUUGAAUAAAACUCCUCCAGCAAUGCCCAACCUUGGUUUUACCAUUUGCACUAACAACCUACCACCUUCCCUUGGGUUCUGNNNNNNNNNNNNNNNNNNNNNNNNNNNNNNNNNNNNNNNNNNNNNNNNNNNNNNNNNNNNNNNNNNNNNNNNNNNNNNNNNNNNNNNNNNNNNNNNNNNNNNNNNNNNNNNNNNNNNNNNNNNNNNNNNNNNNNNNNNNNNNNNNNNNNCUCUGAGUGUUGGUCCAAACUAGAGUCCUGUGCAGCGCCCCCUCGGGGAAACUCGAGGUUUGGUUUUAGCUGUAUGGAGAGCUCAUCUGAGUGUGCCCUGAGAAUGAGAUAUGUGCAGCUCCUAUCGGGAUUUGUCGGCACAUUCAGGCGGUGUUGCUGGUUUAGUUUUACCCUGUCGAAAUGUCUUGUAACCGGGAUUCCGAGUCUAAUCGGGUCUUCCCGCUAGAAGGUCUAUUCCUUCGUUGACCGUGAGAGCUUGUGAUGGGCUAAGUUGGGACACCCCUGCAGGGAUUUGAACUUUCGAAAGCCGUGCCCGCGGUUAUGGGCAGAUGGGAAUUUGUUAGCGUUCGGUUGUAGAAAACCUAAAGUUGACCUUAAUUAAAAUGCAUCAACCGCGUGUGUUGCCGUGAUGGUCUCUUUCCGGCAGAGUCCGGGAAGUGAACACGGUGUUGGAGUUAUGCUUGACGUAGGUUGUUUUAGGAUCACUUCUUGAUCAUACUUUUAUCGACCGUGCUUUGCCUUCUCUUCUCACUCUCAUUUGCGUAUGUUAGCCACCAUAUAUGCUAGUCGCUUGCUGCAGCUCCACCUCUUACCUUUACCUUACCCAUAAGCUUAAAUAGUCUUGAUCGCGAGGGUGCGAGAUUGCUGAGUCCCCGUGACUCACAGAUACUUCCAAAACCAGUUUGCAGGUGCCAAUGUUACCGAGCAGGUGACGUAACCAAGCUCGAGGAGGAGCUCGAUGAAGAUCUUGUCCUUUAUGUUGUUUCGUUCUAGUUGAUCAGUAGUGGAGCCCAGUUGGGGUCGAUCGGGGACCUUUGUCGCACUUGGGGUUCUUCUUUUAUUUUGGUUCCGUAGUCGGACCUUGAUUGUAUUUGGAUGAUGUAAUGCUUUAUUCAUGUAUUGUGUGAAGUGGCGAUUGUAAGCCAACUAUGUAUCUCUUUCCCUUAUGUAUUACAUGGGUUGUGUGAAGAUUACCUCACUUGCGACAUUGCUUUCAAUGCGAUUAUGCCUCUAAGUCGUGCUUCGACACGUGGAAGAUAUAGCCGCAUCAAGGGUGUUACAAGUUGGUAUCAGAGCCAUCCCCGACCUUAGGAUCCCCAUUGCUUGAUCGAAUUAGCG